rnacentral:lncRNA from 1 species
AAUUUGCAACAUUGUGACUAUUAUACUGAUAUUAGUUGUUCUAGAUUUGGAUUAUUUUUACUAGUAAGAUUUUUAUGUGAAAAAUGUGGCUGCAGUUUAAAAAAUGACUAAUGAUCUAAAGAUACAAGGUUGGGUUUCCAAGAAAGGAUGGAUAUGGUCUUGCAAAUGGAUGGAAAGAAAAUACCAGUUGAGAACAGAAAACCAG